rnacentral:rRNA from 1 species
GACGAACGCUGGCGGCGUGCUUAACACAUGCAAGUCGAACGGGGUACAUUUAGCAAUAAAUGUAUCUAGUGGCGGACGGGUGAGUAACGCGUGAGGAACCUGCCUUCAAGAGGGGGAUAACAUCGAGAAAUCGAUGCUAAUACCGCAUAAGACCACACUGCCGCAUGGCAGAGGGGUCAAAGCUUUCGCGCUUGAAGAUGGCCUCGCGUCCCAUUAGCUAGUAGGCGGGGUAACAGCCCACCUAGGCAUCGAUGGGUAGCCGAGCUGAGAGGCUGAACGGCCACACUGGGACUGAGACACGGCCCAGACUCCUACGGGUGGCUG